UACAGAGGGUGCAAGCGUUAAUCGGAAUUACUGGGCGUAAAGCGUGCGUAGACGGUUAUUUAAGUCAGGUGUGAAAGCCCCGGGCUCAACCUGGGAAUUGCAUUUGAGACUGAAUAGCUAGGGUGCGGAAGAGGGGAGCGGAAUUUCCGGUGUAGCGGUGAAAUGCGUAGAUAUCGGAAGGAACACCAGUGGCGAAAGCGGCUUCCUGGUCCAGCACCGACGUUCAGGCACGAAAGCGUGGGGAGCAAACAGG
rnacentral:rRNA from 1 species